GAUGAACGCUGGCGGUAUGCUUUACACAUGCAAGUCGUACGGAAGUCGAUAUUAAAACCUCGUGUUUUUUUAUCAAAACUUUAGUGGCGGACGGGUGAGUAACACGUGAGAAUCUGCCUUUAGGUAGGGGAUAACAAUUGGAAACAGCUGCUAAUACCCUAUAUGCUGCGAAGUGAAAGACUAAUUUACUUUAUGUUGCCUAAAGAAGAGCUCGCGCCUGAUUAGCUAGUUGGUAAGGUAAUAGCUUACCAAGGCGACGAUCAGUAGCUGGUUUGAGAGGAUGAUCAGCCACAUUGGAACUGAGACACGGUCCAA
rnacentral:rRNA from 1 species